CUGUAACCCUCUCCUGAUUGGUCUCCCCAAAAGCCGUAUUGCCCCGCUACAGUCUGUAAUGAAUGCUGCAGCUAGACUGAUUUUCCUCUCUAGUCGGUCCUCUCACACCUCACCCCUCUGCCGGUCCUUACAUUGGCUCCCUGUAUGCUAUAGGAGUCAAUUCAAAGUGUUAACCCAUACAUUUAAAGCACUGAACAAUUCUAGCCCCACUUAUAUCUCUUCACUAAUCCAUAGAUAUGCCCCUC